rnacentral:lncRNA from 1 species
CCGCAUUUUUUUUUCCUGCAUCAAAACCUGUAAAUAAGUACCCUAUGCAGUCCUCAGAAAAAUUAUGAUUCCUAUUUUUAGAAACUUCAAAAAAUUCUCAAAUUUUUUGUGUAGAUUUUUGACUUGACUGAUAAGUGGUAUUUUAAAUUUCAUAAUAAUCUAAAACCAUUUGGCUCCCAAAAGUCCAUCUGGAAGAACC